rnacentral:rRNA from 1 species
AAUGAACGCUGGCGGCAUGCCUAACACAUGCAAGUCGAACGAGACCUUCGGGUCUAGUGGUGUGCGGGUGAGUAGCGCGUGGGAAGUUGGCCGUAGGUUUGGAAUAACCCCCCGAAAGGGGUGCUAAUCAGGGAUAAUGUCCUCGGACCCAAGAUUUAUCGCCUUUGGAUGGGCCCGCGUUGGCUUAACUAUUUGGUAGGGUAAAAGCAUAGCAAGGCGACGAUACAGAGCUGGUCUGCGAGGAUGAUCAGCCACACUGGGACUGAGACACGGCCCAGACUCCUACGGGAGGCAGCAGUGGGGAAUGUUGGACAACGGGCGAAAGCCUGAGCCAGCAAUGCCUCGUGAGUGAUGAAGGCCUUGGGGUUGUAAAUCUCUUUUACCCGGUAUGAUAAUGACGCUACCGGGAGAAUAAGCUCCGGCUAACUCCGUG